rnacentral:rRNA from 1 species
GACGAAGGGGGCUAGCGUUGUUCGGAAUUACUGGGCGUAAAGGGCGCGCAGGCGGCUGCUCAAGUCAGGCGUGAAAGGCCUGGGCUCAACCCGGGAAUUGCGCUUGAGACUGGGCUGGCUUGAGUGCGGGAGAGGAUGGUGGAAUUCCCAGUGUAGAGGUGAAAUUCGUAGAUAUUGGGAAGAACACCGGUGGCGAAGGCGGCCAUCUGGACCGCAACUGACGCUGAGGCGCGAAAGCGUGGGGAGCGAUCCGG